ensembl:lncRNA
CCCCAGCAGGGUACAGGGUAGUGGUUUAGUAUAGGCCACAGCAGGGUACAGGGUAGUGGUUUAGUAUAGGCCACAGCAGAGUACAGGGUAGUGGUUUAGUUUAGGCCACAGCAGAGUACAGGGUAGUGGUUUAGUAUAGGCCACAGCAGAGUACAGGGUAGUGGUUUAGUAUAUGCCACAGCAGGGUACAGGGUAGUGGUUUAGUAUAGGCCACAGCAGGGUACAGGGUAGUGGUUUAGUUUAGGCCCCAGCAGGGUACAGGGUAGUGGUUUAGUAUAGGCCCCAGCAGGGUACAGGGUAGUGGUUUAGUAUAGGCCACAGCAGGGUACAGG